UCUACCAUACAUCCAGAAAACGGCACUUGAGGAUCUUGGUUUCAACCUUUACAAAGAUAAAACUGAAGCCUCCAAUAACCACUUCUUAGAAGCCUGUGGCUCCAGCAUCCACUACAUGUGCUACAUGUGCCAACCUCCCUGCCAGUUCCUGGGUCCCAGAAAUUUCAGCCGGCCGAAGGAAGCCGGUGGCGAACAGAGGCUUAGUCCACUCACACUACAAAUAUGAGUGCUGUAGGCCAGGCAUUUUACAGACAGCAGAAGAGAAUCGCUUACAGUUCUGGAGGCAGUGGAGUCCAACUGAAGUUUUGAAGCUUCGGUGUCUAGCGGAGAUCCAGGCCUCUGCACUCGCUGGAAGGGAGGAACAAAUGCCCCCAAGCCCCCUUCAGAAAGGCACUCAGCCCAGUUAAGACGUGGAGUCCUCGUGCGUGCACCAGUCUCCUGAAGCUCCUCCCCCUACUAUGCUUCACUAGAGACACCUUUCUCUGCUGUUUUAGUUCCAGAGGCUAGAACCGUGUGUUUCCUGUGACUCCCAGUUUCUGGUAGCUGCUGUCAAGUUUGGCGCUCCUAGGACUAUGGACAUACUACCUGAAUCUGCCUUCCUUCCAGAGGACUCCCUGCACUCCUUGGGCCAGUGUCUGAGUUCCUGUUUAGACUCUCAGGGCGUGAGACAUUAAAAGAUGCAGGGUUCCCAGAAUGCGCCCCGGGUUUCAAGAGGAUGAAGGAAUGCCCCGGCCUUCCCUAGGCACCCGCCAUCAGCAUCAUUUCCCAACUGUGCAAGGGAGCUUGCAUAGGAACCUCCUCCUCCAACUCCAGCCAGCUGUGGUUCUCCAUGGCCGACGCUAGAGGGCGCGCCACUAAAACUUUUCUGUUCUAAUCGGCGAGCAGGUUCAGGGAGGUGACCGCCACAGGUGCAGCUUGUCUUGCUGGGCCCUGGUUCGCACUGGAAUCUCCGUACCCACCGAGUAAACCCAUGAGUUCACCUGCUCCUCUGUGCGCUUGCUUUAGCGCCCGUUCCUUGAAGCGGAGGUGUAAGACCAGGGGGGUCUAGCUCAGGCUAACUGGGAGGGGACAGAUGACUUUCCCAGGAUGUUUACAAGGGAGCAGCAAGUCUCCAGAGGAAAGUCAUAAGUAAUUCCUCAAAUCAAGAAUCUGCUAAAACCGCAGCAUGAAGACGCUACCUUUAUAGCCGGUCUCUCAAACAAACAAAGCAAACAAAUGCCAAGGAAAAACUUAAGGCGGCUUUGGAGUUUAGUUUCUCCUCCCCACCCUCCUGUGCCCAAAGCCGUCAUGUUUCCACUAAAAGUCAUAAAGCA